UGGGGAAUAUUGGACAAUGGGCGAAAGCCUGAUCCAGCAAUGCCGCGUGAGUGAUGAAGGCCUUAGGGUUGUAAAGCUCUUUUACCCGGGAUGAUAAUGACAGUACCGGGAGAAUAAGCCCCGGCUAACUCCGUGCCAGCAGCCGCGGUAAUACGGAGGGGGCUAGCGUUGUUCGGAAUUACUGGGCGUAAAGCGCUCGCAGGUGGUCCGUUGCGUCGUGCGUGAAAGACCCCGGCUCAACUGGGGGGUGUCGUGCGAUACGGGCGGACUGGAGGCCAGUAGGGGGAUGCGGAAUUCCGGGUGUAGUGGUGGAAUGCGUAGAGAUCCGGAGGAACACCAGCGGCGAAGGCGGCAUCCUGGACUGGUCCUGACACUCAGGAGCGAAAGCGUGGGGAGCGAU
rnacentral:rRNA from 1 species